UACGUAGGGGGCAAGCGUUGUCCGGAAUCAUUGGGCGUAAAGAGCGUGUAGGCGGCUCGAUAAGUCUGCUGUGAAAGUCCAGGGCUCAACCCUGGAAGGCCGGUGGAAACUGUCGGGCUAGAGUCCGGAAGAGGCGAGUGGAAUUCCCGGUGUAGCGGUGAAAUGCGCAGAUAUCGGGAGGAACACCAAUGGCGAAGGCAGCUCGCUGGGACGGAACUGACGCUGAGACGCGAAAGCGUGGGGAGCAAACAGG
rnacentral:rRNA from 1 species